GAUGAACGCUGGCGGCGUGCCUAAUACAUGCAAGUCGAGCGAACAGACGAGGAGCUUGCUCCUCUGACGUUAGCGGCGGACGGGUGAGUAACACGUGGAUAACCUACCUAAAAGACUGGGAUAACUUCGGGAAACCGGAGCUAAUACCGGAUAAUAUAUUGAACCGCAUGGUUCAAUAGUGAAAGACGGUUUUGCUGUCACUUAUAGAUGGAUCCGCGCCGCAUUAGCUAGUUGGUAAGGUAACGGCUUACCAAGGCGACGAUGCGUAGCCGACCUGAGAGGGUGAUCGGCCACACUGGAACUGAGACACGGUCCAGACUCCUACGGGAGGCAGCAGUAGGGAAUCUUCCGCAAUGGGCGAAAGCCUGACGGAGCAACGCCGCGUGAGUGAUGAAGGUCUUCGGAUCGUAAAACUCUGUUAUUAGGGAAGAACAAAUGUGUAAGUAACUAUGCACGUCUUGACGGUACCUAAUCAGAAAGCCACGGCUAACUACGUG
rnacentral:rRNA from 1 species